rnacentral:rRNA from 1 species
CAAUGGGCGCAAGCCUGAUGCAGCGACGCCGCGUGGGGGAUGACGGCCUUCGGGUUGUAAACCUCUUUCAAUAGGGACGAAGCGCAAGUGACGGUACCUAUAGAAGAAGCACCGGCCAACUACGUGCCAGCAGCCGCGGUAAUACGUAGGGUGCGAGCGUUGUCCGGAAUUACUGGGCGUAAAGAGCUCGUAGGUGGUUUGUCACGUUGUCCGUGAAAACUCACAGCUUAACUGUGGGCGUGCGGGCGAUACGGGCAGACUGGAGUACUGCAGGGGAGACUGGAAUUCCUGGUGUAGCGGUGGAAUGCGCAGAUAUCAGGAGGAACACCGGUGGCGAAGGCGGGUCUCUGGGCAGUAACUGACGCUGAGGAGCGAAAGCGUGGGGAGCGAACAGGAUUAGAUACCCUGGUAGUCCACGCUGUAAACGGUGGGUACUAGGUGUGGGUUUCCUUCCUUGGGAUCCGUGCCGUAGCUAACGCAUUAAGUACCCCGCCUGGGGAGUACGGCCGCAAGGCUA